ACGUAGGGGGCAAGCGUUAUCCGGAAUUAUUGGGCGUAAAGAGUGCGUAGGUGGUUUUUUAAGCGUGAGGUGAAAGGCAAUAGCUUAACUAUUGUAAGCCUUGCGAACUGGAAGACUUGAGUGCAGGAGAGGAAAGUGGAAUUCCUAGUGUAGGGGUGAAAUGCUUAAAUACUUGGAGGAACACCAGUGGCGAAGGCGACUCACCAGAAUGAAUCUGACAGUGAGGAGCGAAAGCUUGGGGAGCAAACAG
rnacentral:rRNA from 1 species